rnacentral:rRNA from 1 species
AGAGUUUGAUCAUGGCUCAGGGUGAAUGCUAGCGGCGUGGAUAAGGCAUGCAAGUCAAGGGGGCCGCAAGGCAACCGGCAGACGAGGUAGUAAUACGCAGGUACGCACCGAAAAGUCUGGUAUAGCUCGCCGAAAGGCGGGGUAAUCCCAGAUGGCACGGCGACGUUAAAGGGGCAACCCGCUUUUUGAGCGGCCUGCGGGGCAUCAGCUAGUUGGUAAGGUAAUGGCUUACCAAGGCUACGACGCCUAGGGGACCUGAGAGGGUGACCCCCACCGAUGGGACUGAGACACGGCCCAUACACCUACGGGUGGCUGCAGUCGAGAAUAUUUGGCAAUGGGCGAAAGCCUGACCAUGCGACGCCGCGUGCUGGAUGAAGUCCUUCGGGACGUAAACAGCUUUUACGCGUGAAGAAGUAAUUGACAUUAGCGCGAGAAUAAGGGGCUCCUAACUCUGUGCCAGCAGGAGCGGUAAUACAGAGGCCCCGAGCAUUACCCGGAAUCACUGGGCGUAAAGGGUGUGUAGGCGGUCGUAUUAGUCUUUCGUAAAAGCACUGGGGCUUAACCCCGGUAAUGCGGGAGAAACGGUACGGCUACGAGGAUGCGAGAGGUAAAGGGAACUCAUGGUGUAGGGGUGAAAUCCGUUGAUAUCAUGGGGAACACCAAAUGCGAAGGCACUUUACUGGCGCACUCCUGACGCUGAAACACGAAAGCGUGGGAAUCGAACGGGAUUAGAUACCCCAGUAGUCC